UGGGAAAUGUGUCCUCUGCUAGCUGU
rnacentral:piRNA from 1 species